rnacentral:other from 1 species
AUUCCCCUGCUAUGUUCGUGAUUGGUGGAAUAUUUUUGAGCCAACAUAAAUGUAGAAGGGAGUUCCCCCUUGCCUUUGUGUGUCUUUUUUGGAUGUUGAAAGAGACCUAAUGGGGUAAUGGAACGCCCACCUGAUAGAGAUCAGGUUCAAAAAGAGCUGCUGACACGGCAUUAGAGCGGGGGAAAA